AUUGAACGCUGGCGGCAGGCCUAACACAUGCAAGUCGAGCGAGCGGCGGACGGGUGAGUAAUGUAUGGGGACUGCCCGAUAGAGGGGGAUAACUACUGGAAACGGUAGCUAAUACCCCAUACUAUCGGAUAACCCAUAUGGGAUUAGCUAGUAGGUGAGGUAAUGGCUCAACUAGGCGACGAUCCCUAGCUGGUCUGAGAGGAUGAUCAGCCACACUGGGACUGAGCCACGGCCCAGACGCCUACGGAGGCAGCAGUGGGGAAUAUUGCACAAGGGGCGCAAGCAUGAUGCAGCCAUGCAGCGUGUAUGAAGAAGGCCCUAGGGUUGUAAAGUACUUUCAGUCGGGAGGCGUUACCGACAGAAGAAGCACCGGCUAACUCCGUGCCAGCAGCCGCGGUAAUAC
rnacentral:rRNA from 1 species